rnacentral:rRNA from 1 species
UUUCUCAGAUUGAACGCUGGCGGCAGGCCUAACACAUGCAAGUCGAGCGGUAGCACAGAGAGCUUGCUCUCGGGUGACGAGCGGCGGACGGGUGAGUAAUGUCUGGGAAACUGCCUGAUGGAGGGGGAUAACUACUGGAAACGGUAGCUAAUACCGCAUAACGUCGCAAGACCAAAGUGGGGGACCUUCGGGCCUCAUGCCAUCAGAUGUGCCCAGAUGGGAUUAGCUGGUAGGUGGGGUAACGGCUCACCUAGGCGACGAUCCCUAGCUGGUCUGAGAGGAUGACCAGCCACACUGGAACUGAGACACGG